UACGUAGGGUGCGAGCGUUAAUCGGAAUUACUGGGCGUAAAGCGUGCGCAGGCGGUUCGUUGUGUCUGCUGUGAAAGCCCCGGGCUCAACCUGGGAAUGGCAGUGGAAACUGGCGAGCUGGAGUGUGGCAGAGGGGGGUGGAAUUCCUGGUGUAGCGGUGAAAUGCGCAGAUAUCAGGAAAAACACCCGUGGCGAAGGCGGCUCUCUGGGACGGUACUGACGCUGAGACGCGAAAGCGUGGGGAGCGAACAGG
rnacentral:rRNA from 1 species